rnacentral:rRNA from 1 species
CCUACGGGGGGCUGCAGUGAGGAAUAUUGGUCAAUGGACGAGAGUCUGAACCAGCCAAGUAGCGUGAAGGAUGACUGCCCUAUGGGUUGUAAACUUCUUUUAUAUGGGAAUAAAAUGUUCCACGUGUGGGAUUUUGUAUGUACCAUAUGAAUAAGGAUCGGCUAACUCCGUGCCAGCAGCCGCGGUAAUACGGAGGAUCCGAGCGUUAUCCGGAUUUAUUGGGUUUAAAGGGAGCGUAGGUGGAUUGUUAAGUCAGUUGUGAAAGUUUGCGGCUCAACCGUAAAAUUGCAGUUGAAACUGGCAGUCUUGAGUACAGUAGAGGUGGGCGGAAUUAGUGGUGUAGCGGUGAAAUGCUUAGAUAUCACGAAGAACUCCGAUUGCGAAGGCAGUUCACUGGACUGCAACUGACACUGAGGCUCGAAAGUGUGGGUAUCAAACAGGAUUAGAUACCCGAGUAGUC